rnacentral:rRNA from 1 species
ACCUGCGGAAGGAUCAUUAUUGAUUUACCAUACUUUUGUGAACAUUUAAUUACAUUAACUCAUCAUCUAAUCCAAUUAUAACUAUCAACAACGGAUCUCUUGGCUCUCACAUCGAUGAAGAACGCAGCGAACCGCGAUAUUUUUUGUGACUUGCAGAUGUGAAUCAUCAAUCUUUGAACGCACAUUGCGCGGUAUGGUAUUCCGUACCGCACGGAUGGAAGAGCGUGUUCCCUUUGGGAUCGCACUGCUUUCUUGAAAUGAAUCUAUUACUUCAAUACAAUCCAUUUCACCUCUUUCAUCCGAGAUUACCCGCUGAACUUAAGCAUAUCAAUAAAGCGGGAGGAGAAGGAUCAUUAUUGAUUUACCAUACUUUUGUGAACAUUUAAUUACAUUAACUCAUCAUCUAACCAAUUAUAACUAUCAACAACGGAUCUCUUGGCUCUCACAUCGAUGAAGAACGCAGCGAACCGCGAUAUUUUUUGUGACUUGCAGAUGUGAAUCAUCAAUCUUUGAACGCACAUUGCGCGGUAUGGUAUUCCGUACCGCACGGAUGGAAGAGCGUGUUCCUUUGGGAUCGCACUGCUUUCUUGAAAUGAA